UUGCUAGAUCUAUAUAAUUAAAAUGAUUUGGUUGGAUAUAGUGACUCCUUGCUAUGCAGCUGGGUGGGUGUGGGUGUUUGUGUGAGGUGUGUUGCAGGAGCAAGUAGGAUUAUGUUUUCUGCAUGUCGGAACGUGACAAGGCAGCCGAAGGAUGUGCUGUUCAAUGGCAGGUGCUUUGUAGUAAGCCUACUCAGUCAUUAAUUUGUGCCUCCACAUAUCUUGUGGUUACAGCCAAGUCAUGUAAUUGGGUGAGUUAGAGGAUCUUCAUGGUCUGGACUCACAGUGAAGAACAACUCCAAAAUUUCCUGUCCAACCUCAACUCCUUUGAUUCCAUCAGAUUCACCUGGUCCUACUCCAAAUCCCAUGCCACUUUCCUUGACAUUUACCUCCAUCUGUCCAAUAGCCAACUUCACAUUUCUGUACACAUCUAACCCACCAACAAGCAACAUUACCUACAUUUUGACAGCUGCCACCCAUUCCAUAUCAAACAGUCGCUUCCCUACAGCUUUGGUCUUCGUGGCAAACUAAUCUGCUCCAGUCCUGAAUCCCUGAACCAUUACACCAAUAACCUCAAAACAGCUUUCGCAUUCCGCAACUACCCUCCCGACCUGGUACAAAAGCAAAUAACCAGAGCCACUUCCUCAUCCCCUCAAACCCAGAACCUCCCACAGAAUAACCCCAAAAGUGCCCCACUUGUAACAGGAUACUUUCCAGGACUGGAUCAGACUCUGAAUGUGGCUCACCAGCAGGGAUAGGCUUUCUCAAGUCCUGCCCUGAAAUGAGAUGCAUCCUUCAUGAAAUCCUCCGCACUCCACCAAGAGUGUCUUUCCGCCGUCCACCUAACCUUCGUAACCUCUUGGUCACCCCUGUGAAAUCCCCAAACCACUUUCCCUACCCUCUGGCUCCUACCCUUGUAACCGCCCCCGGUGUAAGACCUGUCCCAUGCACCCUCCCACCACCACCACCUACUCCAGUCCUGUAACCCAGAAGUAGUACACGAUCAAAGGCAGAGCCACGUGUGAAAGCACCCAUGUGAUUUACCAACUGACCUGCCUACACUGUGAUGCAUUCUAUGUGGGAAUGACCAGCAACAAACUGUCCAUUCGCAUGAACGGACAGUGGCAGACAGUGUUUGUUGGUAAUGAGGAUCACCCUGUGGCUAAACAUGCCUUGGUGCAGGGCCAGCACAUCUUGGCACAGUGUUACACCGUCCGGGUUAUCUGGAUACUUCCCACUGACACCAACCUAUCAGAACGCCGGAGAUGGGAACUUGCCCGUCAAUAUAUUCUCUCCUCCCGUUACCCACCAGGCCUCAACCUCCGCUAAUUUCAAGUUGCCGCCCCUCCUACCUCACCUGUCAUCCAACAACAUCUUUGCCUUUGUACAUCCGCCUCGACUGACACCUCUGCCUAACCUCUUUGCAUUUACAUAUGUCUGCCUGUGUCUGUAUAUGUGCAGAUGGAUAUGUGUGUGUGUGUGUGUGUGUGUGUGCGUGCGUGCGUGCGUGCGUGCGUGCGUGCGUAUACCUGUCCUUUUUUCCCCCUAAGGUAAGUCUUUCCACUCCCGGGAUUGGGCUGACUCCUUACCCUCUCCCUUAAAACCAACAUCCUUUCGUCUUUCCCUCUCCUUCCCUCUUUCCUGAUGAAGCAACUUUAGGUUUGCGUGUGUGUGUGUGUUUGUUAUUGUCUCCUAUCAACAUACCAACGCUUUCAUUUGGUAAGUUACACCAUCUUGGUUUUUUAUAUAUAAUUCACGCAGCUGUGUUUGCAAGGUGAUGGAAUGUAUGACUCAUGCCUGGCUGGUAUGGUGGCUUGUAAUUUACUAACCACUGCACAAUGUGGAUUUAAAGCACACCAUUUUUCAGUUGACCAUCUCGUCACUUUGUCCACCCAUGUCAUGAAUGGUUUUCUGUGGAAAUCCCAGGCUGUGGGCAUUUUUCCAUUUGGAGAAAGCUUAAGACACCUGCUGGAGGACUGAUAUCCUCCAUACUCUCUACAUGUGUGGCAUCUUUGGCCGCCUGCCCCAUUUUCUUCAGGAAUUUUUGAAAAGACUGAGUUUUCAAAGUAAGUAUGGGUUCUGCCUUGUUGGGCACCUUUAUCCAGCAAACUGGUGUGCCUCGGGGUUCCGUACUGAGCAUCAUCCUCUUUGCUAUCGCCAUUAACCCUAUAAUGGCCUAUGUCCCACCGGGCAUCAUCUCCGGCUCCCUUUUCGUUGAUGACUUUGCUAUCUAUUGCAGCUCUUCACAGACUUGUCUCAUUGAGCAGCACCUUCAGCAGUGUCUUGAUUGUCUUUACUUAUGGAACAUCGACAAUGGCUUUCGUUUUUCCACUGACAAAAUCAGUGCAAUUGGUUUCUCCCAUCAUCUUUACAUCUUGGGCCUGUUGCUCAUUGAAACUACGAAAUUCCUGGGGCUUCUGUUCGAUAGGAAAAACUCUUGGUUCUCCCACAUGUCUUACCUGACAGCUCACUGUACGUGGUCCCUCAAUGUCCUACGUGUCCUCAAUGGUACUUUCUGGGGUGCAGAUCAAACCAUUCUCCUCUGUUUGUACCGGUCCCUUGUCCAUUCAAAAAUAAACUGUGCAUUCUUUGUUUAUGCAUCUGCCCAUCCAUCCCUCCUACACUGUCUCAAUACUGUUCACCAUCGUGGCCUCCGUUUGGCCACUGUCACCUUUUAAAUUAACCCAGUUGAGAGUCUGUAUGCAGAAGCAGUCGAACUUUCAAUUGAGAGUCUGUAUGCAGAAGCUGCCGAACUACUACUGUCCUGCCGCCAUGACUUUCGCCUCUGCAGAUAUGCGUGCCGUUUGUCUGCCAUGCAUGAGCACCUGUCAUAUGCCCCCAUUUUCAAUGACUCCUUGAUCGCCAGUGCAGGGCACGUCCCUGACAGGGAAAAAUGCUAAAACUUCUUCUAAUAAUUUCCGGGCUCUUCAGUAGUUGUGUACUCACCUGAUGAUGGCCGGACGUCUCUGGGCCGAAAUAUCGUGGCAGAAUGUCGACGGGAUCCGGCUGCAUACCCGGAAAUUAUUAGAAGAAGAAAUACGCCGGGAAAAUUUCAGAAGUCACAUGCUAAAACUUGUCUUGAAAUCAUGGAAAUAUCAGGGAAUUUCACGUGGGGAAACUUGUGGCAACCGUGAUUUGGCUGGCAUGCAGAACUCUGCCCAUAGUGAGAGACUUGAAGAGCUGCCUGUUUGGUAAGUUUGUAACAGUAAUAAUAUACUUAAUUCUGUGAGUCUAGUUAGGUACUUUGUUGUAAGGUAUUAGUCUAGAUAAUUACCCUUGGUUGACAUGGGCGCAUUUAAAUGUGGGAUGAGCUAUUUGGUUCCUCUCCAGCAGGUGCCGUGUGGCGAGUUGUGUACCGUGGCUCUUAGGAAUUCCUAAUCAAAGUUGGACAACUUGAAAGGAGAGUAUGGUUGUGGGAUUUAGAGCCAGCCAUGAGGAAACGAUUACAAUGCUGACUUUUGCACUAUUAGAUGUAAAGGGAGAAAGUAGGAGCCGUCUUGAAGAUGAUGAUACUGAACAAGUAAAUGUGUCGUCAGGACGCCAAAGUUGGUUCUUAAGAGGAAUUGCUAAAUGCGACAUUUGCCCAGUAUGACCAUGGGUUUAUUUGUCAGUAUGAGGGAUGUAUGUGAACAUAGUUCCACAUGAAUAUUUGACUUGAGACAUGAUAAAUUUCUUGUGAGUGCUACAAGAAUUAUAGGUAUGGCUGAGGAGAGUGGUGGUUGGGCCUGUCAUGGACUGCUGCAAGGAAGAAAUUUUUUUCUGUUUAAUUGCUAUGCUCAUAUGAUGUAAAGCGUUUUAUCACUAAAGGAGAAUGAAGGAUUAAGUUUUUGUUCAUCAGACCAUAGUGCCUAUGCCGAAGUGUGUGCCAUAUCAGAAAAGUUUUUGUGUAAUAAGUCUUUUAGGUCCUUAAUAUUUACAGUUAUCAAUUUUGGUGGAGAUCACUACAUCAUGUUUUGAGUCGUCAGGCCUUUUAUGCAGGUGGCAGUGUGUGUUAUUUUUUGAUUGCAGGCCUGGAGAAAUCUAAUUUUCGAGAUGGGAUAAAAGCAUUGAAACGUCACCGGACCAAGGGCAUUAGUGUAGUGGGAGACUGCCUUGAAAAAUAAAAAAUUUUUCACUGAGGUUCCUGUAUUAUGUCCUGAAAGAAUAUCUUGUGGACGACAGAAAUAGCCCCAGUUCCAUUUUUUGUCGUGGAGUGUCAUUUAACAUGUUGAAAACAACUGUCCAUAUUGCCUUUUAAUCAAAGCUGUAACAUUUGUAACACUGCUUUCAGUUGUUAUUGUUGAUAUUUUACUGUGUUUGGAAAUUGUACCUCCAUUCCUUAUGGAAAUAACUUCAAUAAUGUUAAUUAAGCUUUAUUUGUUAGUAAUUAAUUUUAAAUGUGUAAUUUUUUCAUUUGCUACUCUUGUUCAUUAUCAGGUUACAUGUGUGUGAAACUUUGUAGAUUUCAUUAAAGAUAUGUUUGAAGAAAAGUUAAAGCAAUAAAUUUUUUU